rnacentral:lncRNA from 1 species
UUGAGGGGGAGCUUUAGAUAUUCAGUAUCUUAUCCUAAAGAUACUUUAAUUUGAUGCAUACCUUGAAUUUUAUGGAUUGAUUUUGAUGAACCUCCUUAUAUUGAACAUUAUCUUCAAAUUCUAAACUCUUAAAUGGAAUGAUCAAUUGAGGGGGAGAAAGAAAAUUUCAGAAGGAGAGGUCUUAUGGAACUUAAUCGCAUAAAUCUAUAACUAAAGGAGAGGGAAAGAAUACUAAAUGAAAAGUGAGCCUA